AGCUUGGAACAUUUUUGGCUGGGGCAUUAUUAGCAGAAAAAAAUUUCCGAACACAGAUUGAAGCUGAUAUAAGGCCAUUUAGAGGCUUGCUGCUUGGGUUAUUUUUUGUUACUACUGGCACUUCCAUUGACAUGCAGAUUGAUAAUGUUGGCAUGGAUACAGUGAUGUUUUUGGGCCAGAUUGAUGAUGUUUGCAUGGGCGCAAUUUACAUUAUAUUUUUUGUUUAUGGAAAACAUGUACAGCUGAUAUGUUUUGUUAUUAAGUUUUUUUUUUUUUAGUUUGAAUUGUAAUUGUUGGUUCGGAUAGUAUAUGUAUUUGUUAGAUUAUACUAUAUUUAUGGAUUCUUAUUUUCUCUGA